rnacentral:rRNA from 1 species
AUUGAACGCUGGCGGCAGGCCUAACACAUGCAAGUCGAGCGGAUGAAGGGAGCCUGCUCCUGGAUUCAGCGGCGGACGGGUGAGUAAUGCCUAGGAAUCUGCCUGGUAGUGGGGGAUAACGUCCGGAAACGGGCGCUAAUACCGCAUACGUCCUGAGGGAGAAAGUGGGGGAUCUUCGGACCUCACGCUAUCAGAUGAGCCUAGGUCGGAUUAGCUAGUUGGUGGGGUAAAGGCCUACCAAGGCGACGAUCCGUAACUGGUCUGAGAGGAUGAUCAGUCACACUGGAACUGAGACACGGUCCAGACUCCUACGGGAGGCAGCGGUGGGGAAUAUUGGACAAUGGGCGAAAGCCUGAUCCAGCCAUGCCGCGUGUGUGAAGAAGGUCUUCGGAUUGUAAAGCACUUUAAGUUGGGAGGAAGGGCAGUAAGUUAAUACCUUGCUGUUUUGACGUUACCAACAGAAUAAGCACCGGCUAACUUCGUG